GCUAGAAACCAACAAUUAACCCCAACUUGAAAAUAAUGCCACCUCCUAGGAAAACAGCAAUUCAUAAUUAUCAUCCGUCACUUCCAUCCAUCAUCAGCAAACCGAAAACACCUACUCCCAAAAGACCCAUUUCUAAAAGAAACCAACCAUUAGCUUUCUUCAAAAACACCUCCCCUUUCAACUUCAAUAGUCUGUCCCCCUAUCUCCCUUAAGUGCUCUGUCCAUCUCUAUUCCUCAACCGCCAUAGCCUCAGCCCCAGGAGGAACCCUAUUCGAUAGAUAAGUAGAAACUCCCAUUUUAAUUCCUUUAGUCGCAAUUGCAUGAGCAACUCUGUUAGAAUCCCUGUUUAUGAAACGAAAAACACAGAAAUUGAAGUUUAAACUCCGUUGCUUUGAAUCUUUGAUGAAUGCUGCGAUUUCAGAUCUGUCCUCUUGUUCUUCUUGUAGUUUGUGGAUCACUGUCCGAGAGUCUCAUUCCACUUUCACUUCACUCAGUCCAAGUUGUAUACCCAGAUCAAGAGCCUAGAGGCACGCCACCGUCUCAGGCGAAAAAACUGACGGGCAGUCUCUGAAUAAAUGCUCUAUCGUUUCUGCUCUUGCUUGACACCUUUGACAACUGGCAUAAUUCAUCAACCUUCUAAAAUACCGAGUAUUCACCAGUCGACUCUCCUCUCCAAAUAGUGAGAUCCUCAUGCGAGCUCAAGGCCAAUGGAAUACAUAAGAUUCUCUCAGCCUCGCUCUUCGUAAAGGGACCCAAGCAUCAUCCCAAAUGGACACUUGCCUACCAUCGCCAAUCUGUCAUCCCAAACCUUUCAUAAGGAGACCCUUUACAGCCCAAAUGCUCUACCAGGUAAAGGAAGGUAAAUUACCCAACCUAGAGUUUAAAAAAUCGGAGUCCUUAUAAUAUUUUUUCUUCAAAGUGCGCGCUAGUAAAGAAUUAGGAUUACGUAAUAAACGCCAACCCUGUUUGGCCAAUAACGCAAUAUUAAAAAGGCUAAGACUACAAAAACCCAUACCAUCAUCCUCCUUGAGCUCGCUAAGAGCCUUCCACUCGCAGAAUGUAUCAUUCUCUUCCCACUACCAUUUUGCCACCAAGAGAAGCUCAUUGUUUUUUCUAGUUCAGAACAAAAUGAUUUUGGCAAAAGAAAAUAUGCCAUUGAAAAGGUAGGAAUUGCUUGUAAAACAGCUUUUAUAAAAACCUCUUUACCGUAUUGAGAAAUAAAUCUUAUGCUCCAGCUGUUAAUCUUCUAUUUCAACCUAUCCUUCAGGUUUUGAAAAGCCCACUUUUUUUUUCCUUCCUAUCCUAUUUGGAAGUCCCAAAUACUUCUCCAUAUCAUUUGAACACCUCACAUUCAGACCAUGCAAGACCAAGUUUUUCCCCUGAUCAAUCACAUUUGUGCUAAAAAAAUAGUGGAUUUUUCAAAAUUGACGCAUGCCCUGAACAAGCCUCAUAUUCCUAGAAAAUUUCUCUAAAUGCACUUAUCUCCCUGUUAGACACCUCACCAAAAAGGAUACAAUCAUCUGCAAAUAUAAGAUAAGUAAUUGUUAGAAAAGAUCUACCUUUCCUAAUUUGCCAAUCUCAUAAGUGCUGACAAACCUUCUCCACUGAAUAGAAACAAAUAAGGGCUUAACGGGUCACCUUGGCGGAAUCCCCUUGUUGCCCUGAAAAUUGAGCCCUCUUCCCCAUUAAUUAAAAUAGAGUAUUUAACAGAAUUAAUACAACGGAAAAUAACAUCCAUAAAUACUUCUGUACAACUCAUUUUUGUCAUUACCCCUUUGAUAAAAGACCAUUUCACUCUAUCAUAAGCCUUACUCUUGUCAGAAAAGAUAAGUAAUUGUUAGAAAAGAUCUACCCUUCCUAAUUUGCCAAUCUCAUAAGUGCUGACAAACCUUCUCCACUGAAUAGAAACAAAUAAGGGCUUAACAGGUCACCUUGGCGCAAUCCCCUUGUUGCCUUAAAAAUUGAGCCCUCUUCCCCAUUAAUUAAAAUAGAGUAUUUAACAGAAUUAAUACAACGGAAAAUAACAUCCAUAAAUACUUCUGUACAACUCAUUUUUGUCAUUACCCCUUUGAUAAAAGACCAUUUCACUCUAUCAUAAGCCUUACUCUUGUCAAGUUUCAAAGCCAUAAACCCUUUUCUACCAGCUCUUUUAUUUUUCAAAAAAUUAAGUACCUCGUAUGCCAGCAACACAUUGUCCGUGAUGAGUCUUCCAAGUACAAACGCGCUCUAAGCCUCAUCAAUACAACCAUCCAGCACCUCUUGUAAACAAUUUUCCACUGUCUUAGCGAUGAUUUUAUAAAUCACCGUACACAGACUUAUGGGACGAAAAUUUUUCAGGUUCAAAGGAUUAACAGUUUUUGGGAUCAGCACUAUGUACGUCCUAUUAAUAUCUUCCAGCGAACAACUUUCAUUCAAGAUAUUCAAGCAGAAUUCACUAGUGUCCUUACCAAUAAUACUCCAAAAUUUCUGGUAAAAUACUGCUGGAAAAUCGUCAGGCCCAGAUGCCUUUGUAGGCCUCAUACCUUUCAACACCUUCACGAUCUCUUCCUCUGAAUAAGGAGCUAGCAACCCCUGGCUCAUACUAUCAGAAAUACAUGAAUGAACCCCUGAAAGGACAUGCUCCAAAUUUCCAACACCUCUAGACCCGAAUAAGUGUGAAAAAUAAUCCCGAGCAAUAUUCUCGAUGUCCUUCCCCUCCGUAGUAAUAGAAUCAUCAAUUCUUUGUAAACCACGAAUCCGAUUGGUACAUCAUCUCUGAAAGGCAUGUCUGUGGAAAAAAACGGUAUUUUUAUCUCCCAUUUUUAACCAGUUAACUCUUGUCCGUUUCUCACAAUACCUUUCCUCCUUGUCCAUCUCCAUAUCAAAUGUAAUUUCACCUCUAUGAGUUCUUCCAAAUUCCCUUCCGACCUAUCCUCGCAAUUCAAUUCCUCCAGUCUUCUGCUCAAUCGUUGCACUUCUCUCAUUCUCUUAUGUUUUAUCCUUCUCGCCCAAUCCUUCAACCCCAAAGCCAAAAUUGACAUGCGAUUAAGGAAAGAACCAGAACUUACAUUCCAUAGCUUCUUAAUCAUUUCCUCAUACGACUCUUCAAGAACCCACCAAGCUUCAAACCAGAAUCUAGCUUGUCAUUUAUUCAACUCUCCCUUAUUCGUCUCAAUGAGCAAGGGACAAUGAUUCGAUAAAGAGUGAGGAAGAUGCCUUAAAGAAUAUGUUGGGAAAAGUUGGAGCCAGCCAUCAGUAGCAACUCCACUGUCGAGUCUUUCCCUAAUAUUCCGGUCCAUUAUUCGACCUCUUUCCCAAGUAAACCAAAGCCUAGAAAAACCAAUAUCCACCAAUUGGCAAGCAUCUAAUGUUCGACGGAAAGCCUCCAUUCGAUCCUCCUCCCAAGGUAAACCCCACCUUUUUCCAUGAGCAAAAAGAAUAUCAUUAAAAUCACCACCUACAAUCCAAGGAAGCGAAUUAUUUCUCCCCAAAAUUUUGAGUAAUUCCCACGUCUCCGCCUUAUAUCUUACAUCUGAGGCUCCAUAAAAACCCAUAAAACGCCACCGAGGACAGCUCCUCUUGGUUCUCCACAUCAAUGUGGAUUUUUGAGAAACUUUUUAAGGCGACUAAUUGUCCUCCAUUCCACCCAAUACUUAAUAACCCUUGAGAACCAUCUGCAGGGACAUCAACUCUAUAACAAAACCCACACCGUCUCCUAACACCCUCCAUACUACUAGUAUCUAAUUUAGUCUCCAUAAAGAAAACAAUUUGGGGAUGAUGAAGUUUCACCAUAUGCUGAAAUCUUCUAACUGCUCGUAGACUCCCCAAUCCACGAACAUUCCAGCAAUAAAUUUUCAUUUCUUUUGGUCGGCAUGCUCCAUGGCAGCCACCGAUAUCUGUUGUUUAUGAGCUGAAAUCCCACCAAUAACCUCCAAUGAAUCCUGACCAUUAGAAACAUUAGAGAUCAAAAAAUCGAACCUCUAUCUUUUUUUUCCUUCCUCAUUAAUUAUUGGAUCCUCUACUAAUUCACAUUCCAUACUUGAUAACUCUACUCCAGCAGUGGUCCCCUUGUCGUCAGAAUAUUUCCUCAAAACACUUCCUUGAACAAAUGUCCCACCAAUUGAAUUUUCCCCUUCCCCACAGUCUAUCCCUCAUUAUUCCCGAAAAUCCCCCUUUUCUGACCAUUAUUCAAGAUGGCUGGAAUAUUGCAACCUUCCAAAUUUAUCCCCAAAAGAUUGUGCACAUUAGCCCAUGAUCCACGCGUCUGAUUUUGGCUAGAAUUCUGACCAAAUUGCAUCUCAACAUGAUACUUUCCAAAAUUACUAUCACUUUCCUCCCUCAACCAAAUACUAUUGACAGUGCUAGCUCUCCUCACUAGAGCCCUCAACUUCAGAUCCCAUCCCAACUCUAAUUCCUGCAAACCAGUUUGUAAUCGCAUCAGGCAAAAAUUAUCUCCAUGCCCAAGGUAGCCACAUAAAAAGCAAAACAAAGUUAAUUUCUCAUAUUUAUAUUUUUAUAAGUGAAUUUUGAGGCAGAAAUCAUAAUUUUUUUCUUCCUUUUCAAAGGACUUCUAACAUCAAUCUGAACACGAAUACGCAUAUAGUUCCUAUAACCAUAAAGAACUUGUUUCGUAUCAUACUCUAAAAAUCGGCCAAGGAAAUUUCCAAACUGCAACGCCAUUAAGUCUUUGAAAAAACUAGGUGGCAAGUCAUGCACCUGAACCCACCAGUCUGAAAAUACUAAUGGCACAGCCAUCGGAUCUUCGUUCUCCUGAAUCCUAUAGAAAAUCAACAGGUGAUUGUUGAAAGUCCAAGGAGCUCCUAUAAUAACCUGAGAAAUAUCAAGCUCGUUAAAAAACUUGAACAAAUAAAGCCUCUCCCCCAAAUCCGUUAUUUGCAUCCCCUCCAAAGGAUGCCAAAUAUUUGCCAAAGUAUUCCUCAUGGCUGGGAAAUGCACCACACUAGCCGUAAGAAAACGCCCAACCAAAUAAAAUUUGAAAAUAGUGGACUAUUCAUCUACCUCUCCUGGCAAAACGAAAGCAUCUUCUUCCCCAUCUUCUAGACUCAGAUCUGCAAUACCACUUUCCAUCCCCCCCCCAAUCAGCACCAGAACACAGCUUCCCAGAUCGCGAACUAACAUAAAACCAGAUUCCAAAUAAAAGAAAACUAAAACUUGAAAAAGAAAAGAAGAGAAGACUCCAAAUCGUGCCACCAGGCAGACAGAAACGCGCCAAUUGGCAGAAGUUAAAUGACUAUUACUAGUACUGAAUAAAAUAGGGAAAGAAAAAUAUUAAAUUUUUACCUAUUAAAUUAAAAAUAACAUAAAAAUGUAUGUGUAGGCUUAAAACAAAUCUAAAUUAAUCAUUUAUAAAUUUAGACAAAAAUUAAUGUUAAUAAAUCAAAAUUAAGCAAACAAAUGUCAUUUAUAAAUGUAAUCUGAAUUUGAAUUGCAUAUACUUUCCCUUAAAUAAUAUUUUUAAAAAAUAUUCUAUAAAGAAAUCUCUAACAGUUUAAUUUGAGCAACAAAUAAUGUUUCCUGGUAUAAGUUAGCGGUAAAUGGUUCCCCAUUUUAGGACAAUUGAUAAUUGAUAUAUAAAUAACAUGUCUUAAAACUGUUUCCACAAAUUGUGCUAUGCAAGAUUUGAGUUCUCAUUUUUCAUAUCUAUAAAAUUUGAUUCCAUUAAUUCAUUUAAUCAAAAAUUUAUAAUUGAUUCUACUGGUAUGGAUAUUGUUGUUUUUGUAGAAGGACAUGGGUUGAAGUAUGUUAAAGCACAUUAUCUUCUUAUUUAUGGGUUGAGGAGAGAUUAUGAAUAGUUUUAAA